rnacentral:rRNA from 1 species
GAUGAACGCUGGCGGCGUGCCUAAUACAUGCAAGUCGAGCGAACGGACGAGAAGCUUGCUUCUCUGAUGUUAGCGGCGGACGGGUGAGUAACACGUGGAUAACCUACCUAUAAGACUGGGAUAACUUCGGGAAACCGGAUCUAAUACCGGAUAAUAUUUUGAACCGCAUGGUUCAAAAGUGAAAGACGGUCUUGCUGUCACUUAUAGAUGGAUCCGCGCUGCAUUAGCUAGUUGGUAAGGUAACGGCUUACCAAGGCAACGUUGCAUAGCCGAACUGAGAGGGUGAUCGGCCACACUGGAACUGAGACACGGUCCAGACUCCUACGGGAGGCAGCAGUAGGGAAUAUUGCGCAAUGGGCGAAAGCCUGACGGAGCAACGCCGCGUGAGUGAUGAAGGUCUUCGGAUCGUAAAACUCUGUUAUUAGGGAAGAACAGAUGUGUAAGUAACUGUGCACAUCUUGACGGUACCUAAUCAGAAAGCCACGGCUAACUACGUG